rnacentral:rRNA from 1 species
CGUGCCUACGGGGCGCAGCAGUAGGGAAUCUUCGGCAAUGGACGAAAGUCUGACCGAGCAACGCCGCGUGAGUGAAGAAGGUUUUCGGAUCGUAAAACUCUGUUGGAAGAGCAGAACGUUGGUGAGAGUGGAAAGCUCAUCAAGUGACGGUAACUACCCAGAAAGGGACGGCUAACUACGUGCCAGCAGCCGCGGUAAUACGUAGGUCCCGAGCGUUGUCCGGAUUUAUUGGGCGUAAAGCGAGCGCAGGAGGUUUAUUAAGU